rnacentral:rRNA from 1 species
GCAGAUAUCGGGAAGUACACCGAUGGCGAAGGCAACUCCCUGGGCUGUACCUGACGCUAAGUGGCGAAAGCUAGGGGAGCGAACAGGAUUAGAGACCCUGGUAGUCCUAGCUGUAAACGCUGGAUGCUAGAUGUGGGGCCUAGAAGCUCUGUGUCGGAGCGAACGCGAUAAGCAUCCCGCCUGGGAAUUACGGUCGCAAGGCUAAAACUCAAACGAAUUGACGGGUCCCCGCACAAGCAGCGGAGCGUGUGGUUCAAUUCGAUGCUACACGAAGAACCUUACCUGGGUUUGACAUGUACGUGGUAGAGAAGCGAAAGCGGAUUGACCCUUCGGGGAGCGUACACAGGUGCUGCAUGGCUGUCGUCAGCUCGUGCCGUGAGGUGUCGGGUUAAGUCCCGUAACGAGCGCAACCCUUGCCCUUAGUUACAAGUGUCUAGGGGGACUGCCGGCGGUAAGCCGGAGGAAGGUGGGGAUGACGUCAAGUCAGCAUGGCCCUUAUGUCCAGGGCUACACACACGCUACAAUGGUCAGUACAAAGGGUAGCGAAGCCGUGAGGUGGAGCGAAUCUCAGCAAAGCUGAUCGUAGUUCGGAUUGCAGGCUGCAACCCGCCUGCAUGAAGCUGGAGUUGCUAGUAACCGCGCGUCAGCCAUAGUGCGGUGAAUACGUACCCGGGGCUUGUACACACCGCCCGUCACGUCAUGGGAGUCGGUUACGCCUGAAGCCGGUAGUCUAGCACGCAAGAGAGACGCUGUCUAAGGCGGG